UAACGCGUGGGUAACCUGCCUCGUACAGGGGGAUAACAGUUAGAAAUGACUGCUAAUACCGCAUGAGCGCACAGUGCUGCAUGGCACAGUGUGAAAGACUCCGGUGGUAUGAGAUGGACCCGCGUCUGAUUAGCUAGUUGGUGGGGUAACGGCCUACCAAGGCGACGAUCAGUAGCCGGCCUGAGAGGGUGAACGGCCACAUUGGGACUGAGACACGGCCCAA
rnacentral:rRNA from 1 species